rnacentral:rRNA from 1 species
CCUACGGGUGGCAGCAGUGAGGAAUAUUGGUCAAUGGGCGAGAGCCUGAACCAGCCAAGUCGCGUGAAGGAUGAAGGAUCUAUGGUUUGUAAACUUCUUUUAUAUGGGAAUAAAGUGAGGAACGUGUUCCUUUUUGUAUGUACCAUAUGAAUAAGCAUCGGCUAACUCCGUGCCAGCAGCCGCGGUCAUACGUAGGAUCCGAGCAUUAUCCGGAGUGACUGGGUGUAAAGAGUUGCGUAGGUGGCAUAAUAAGUAGCUAGUGAAAUCUGGUGGCUCAACCAUUCAGACUAUUAGCUAAACUGUUAAGCUCGAGACCGUUAGGGGCAUCUGGAAUUUCUAGUGUAGGAGUGAAAUCCGUAGAUAUUAGAAGGAACACCAAUAGCGUAGGCAGGAUGCUGGGACGGUUCUGACACUAAGGCACGAAAGCGUAGGGAGCAAACGGGAUUAGAUACCCCUGUAGUC